AAUCUCCGAGUUAGACCACCCGAAGCACCUGAAGAUUUCUAAUCUCUUUUUCACCGUCGAUUCGUCAAGCCAUGCAAGUGCAUAAACCCCGUGUAUGAACAUGUUGCAAUCGCGAGAAAGAAAGAAAGUUUUUUCUACUCGAUCCACUAUGUUUUUGAGGCGCCCAGCCUUUUGAGUAAAAAUUCUAGGAUUCCAAAGCAUAAGCUUUUGUAUAU
rnacentral:lncRNA from 1 species